rnacentral:rRNA from 1 species
CUACGGGUGGCUGCAGUGAGGAAUAUUGCGCAAUGGACGAAAGUCUGACGCAGCCAUGCCGCGUGCAGGAUGACGGCGCUAUGCGUUGUAAACUGCUUUUAUAUGCCAAGAAACCUUCGGACGUGUCCGAAGCUGACGGUAGCAUAUGAAUAAGCACCGGCUAACUCCGUGCCAGCAGCCGCGGUAAUACGGAGGGUGCAAGCGUUGUCCGGAUUCACUGGGUGGUAAAGGGCGCGCAGGCGGGUUAGCAAGUCAGAGGUGAAAUCCUACAGCUUAACUGUAGAACUGCCUUUGAGACUGCUAAUCUUGAGUACGGAAGAGAGAGAUGGAAUUCCAGGUGUAGUGGUGAAAUACGUAGAUAUCUGGAAGAACACCAGUGGCGAAGGCGGUCUCUUGGUCCAUUACUGACGCUAAGGCGCGAAAGCGUGGGGAGCAAACAGGAUUAGAUACCCGAGUAGUC